rnacentral:rRNA from 1 species
UUGAUCCUGGCUCAGGAUGAACGCUAGCGGCAGGCCUAAUACAUGCAAGUCGAACGGUCUUUAGCAAUAGAGAUAGUGGCGCACGGGUGCGUAACGCGUARCCAACCUACCYGAAUCUGGGGGAUAGCCCGCCGAAAGGCGGAUUAAUACCGCAUAAACCMACAGARYGGCAUCRUUUMAUKGKUAAAGAUUUAUUGGAUUCRGAUGGGGUUGCGUGCCAUUAGCURGUUGGGGAGGUAACGGCUCACCAAGGCGACGAUGGCUAGGGGAGCUGAGAGGCUGGUCCCCCACACGGGCACUGAGAUACGGGCCCGACUCCUACGGGAGGCAGCAGUAGGGAAUAUUGGGCAAUGGRCGSGAGYCUGACCCAGCCAUGCCGCGUGCAGGAUGAAGGCUUUCUGAGUCGUAAACUGCUU